UACGAAGGGGGCUAGCGUUGCUCGGAAUCACUGGGCGUAAAGCGCACGUAGGCGGCUUCUUAAGUCAGGGGUGAAAUCCUGGAGCUCAACUCCAGAACUGCCUUUGAUACUGGGAGGCUCGAGUCCGGGAGAGGUGAGUGGAACUGCGAGUGUAGAGGUGAAAUUCGUAGAUAUUCGCAAGAACACCAGUGGCGAAGGCGGCUCACUGGCCCGGUACGUGACGCUGAGGUGCGAAAGCGUGGGGAGCAAACAGG
rnacentral:rRNA from 1 species